GGGGGAUUGGCAGCAGAUGUUGGCUCAGGGCUAAUCUUCCUCAGAAAUAAAUAAAUAAAUAAAUAAAUAAAUAACAGUACCUACUUCACAGACCUGUCAUGAGACUUUAGCAACUAAGACAUGUAGAAACACCCAGAACAGCGGUUGGCGUGCGGAAAAGACCCCAAACGUCAGCUGGCUAUGAGGACUGGCCUCCUGUCCCUAUGACAGAGGAGGACCAGGCAUGGGGUCCUGAUGGCCUCGGGCACUCAGUGCAGGCAGGUGAAGGCCUUGGGACUGGAGUGGUGCCACUGCCCAUUGAUGACACGGCCACCCUUUGACUGGUCACUUCCUGAAGGACAGAUGGUGAGCGGGCUCUGGGGUCAGCCCCCGUGGACGCAGGUGGCACAACUCGAACCAGGUGCCCUGUUGUUGGAUCUACUCACCCAUGUGCCUGGAGAUAAGAGAGGUGGGCAGUUACCGAGUUCCUGUGGCCGAAAGUGGAUGAUGGACACAGCCAGGGAGGGCCGACUGGCUGAGGAGCAGAGCUGGGGCCCAGAUCCCUAGAAGCUCACCUCAGUGGCCACCCCUGAACCCUCAUCUGGGAGCAGGAAUGGGUGCGGCUGUGCUCCUCACUACAGAUUGUUCUCCUUUCCCUGGACUGAGAAGCCAAGCAGUGGAUUUGGGGUGUGACCAGCGAUGGUAGUGAGUUUGGGGGUCUCUGGGCUCCCACAAGCAGCCAGGGCUUGGAGCCUCUGCUCCUCUAACAGGAGUGUCACCGAGUGGACACAGUGUAAGUGGGACUCAGAGGUAUUUGAGGCCGGUCAGAGGUGCUGGGAACUUGUGAUUUCUGGAUCUGCGUGUGGAUUAGACAGGAGCUGGCAGCUUAGAAAGUUCCACACAGAUGACAUCAGCAUUCUCUCGAUGGACAUAGACUUGAGCAAAACGUGCACUUGAGAAAAGAGAAUGUAGAGUGGCUGCAGUCCCUCACUCCAGGCCCCAUGUGGGGGGCUCCCAGGACCCCAGAGGAAGCAGGGCUUCUUGGUAGCCCACCCGGGACCACAGCCCACCUGGGUAAUGGGAGGUCCAGGUGGACGCCAGCUUGGGGUGGAGGAGCCGGGGAGGCGGACAUCAGGGAUGUGGUCCUCCAGGCUCUGGCCUGCGGGUAUUAGGGUGGGAGCCAGGUCUGCACAGAUGGUGAUUGUCAGGCCUGGAAAGAGUGCGGCCUGGUCUCCUCCACGCUCUGAUCACACAGGAGUCUCCCAGACAUCAGCCUUGCUGAAGUCUUUUCUAGUCACUAUCAUCUAAACCUUCAAUGUUCCUUGUUUACCGUGAGGCAAGAGGACCCGUCAGAGGGACGUCCCCAGGAACGAGGUCUGCUCCUUGCGGGCUCCCUUAGAGGGUCCUGGCUACCUCGGGCAUAUGCUGUGGACACGGCCACAUUUCUACCCUGUGUCCACGUCCUUGUGGCCAGCAGCAGUUGGAGGAAGGUCAGCAUCUGUCCACAGGCAUCGUCACAUGAUUUUGACCUUGGGGCCUCCAGGACCCUCAGCCUCUGGGCUCAGGGUCGGGACAUCGCUGGGGACUCACAGGGACUCUCAUUCCCACCUCCUCCAGCCUGUGGCGGGGCUCUGCCUGGUGACCUCACUUGUCCACCUGGAGGGAGCGGGGGGAGGGGGUGUCCGAGUGAGUCCCCACUCCUGGCCGGGGUUUGGGGUGAGGCUGUCCACCUGUUGGCCGCCCCACCUGACCCUCCCACAGGACAUUGUGCCCACGGCCCACCCCCUCCAGACCCCUCCCUGCUGCUGACAGCCUCUGGCCUCUGCGGAGACCCUCUGCUGCCAUGGUUCUGGACACCUCUCAACAGUGUGUUAACAAUCAGAUGAUGAAGACAGUGACCGACAGCUGCUAAUGCUGUCUGUGCGUCAGCGCACAUGUGUGUGUGUGUGCGCACAUGUGUGUGAUAAUCUCUUCAUUUACUGAUGGGUAAACUGAGGCCCUGCUAGCUGCCGUGGGGGGCUCAGCCUCACACAGGGGACCCGGAGCCUCCAACACCCACAGCUGGAGGUGCCCACGACACCUCUCUUUUUCCAUUUUCAUUGUGCUCAUUUGUUCAUUCAUUCGUUCAUUUUAAGCAGCUUUAUUGCAUUAUAAUUCACGUUCCACACAUUUGCCACUGAGAGGGUGCACUCCGAUGUCUUUGGCGUUUUCGUGGAUAAAGCCAUCACCACGGGCAACCUCGGGACACUUUCAUCACCACAGAGGGAACCUGUACCCUUUACCUGACUGCCCCCCACAAUGGGCAGGUUCGACCGUGACAGUUGGCGAUGUCCAGUGCCAGUGACUUCCUGCUUCACUGCGGCUCUGGGAGCGCCAUCCGGUCCUGCUCACUCCUACUACAGACUGGCCCCAGGCAGGAGUGUGGGGCAGGGGCCUCCUUAAGUGGCCCAGACCUGCCUGGAGCUACUGAAAACGUGGACACAGAGUAGCAGAAACAGAGAGGCCCCUCCUUGACUCCUCGAACAUCGCCUCCGUUCCCCAAGGCCACAGACACUGUGCCCUCAAAUCUCCCCCAGUGGCAGGGACGCUGACCCAGCACGGGCCCCACGGGGACACCCAGGCUCCACCCGAGGGACGUGGCGGAGGGUCCCUGACAGCCAGUCCUGGCCAGAGAGGAUGUCUGCCCUCGAUUCUCAGCAUUUUCACGGAAACAAGCAGAUCCAGCACGAGGCUGAAUCCCCCUCCCUGGGGACUUGGAGACCACAAGGGCAGCGGCUCCUCAUGCAACACGUCCCCUGGCAAAGGGCACCUCGCUGCCACCAUCACCCAGGGGACGGGCCUGGGCCCACGACAGUCCAGCAGAUCUGGACGCUCUGUGCUGCUGACGGGGAGAGCGUGGGGCUGCAUCAGGCCGUGAAAGUGUCAGAGGUCGGGGGCGAGGUUCCUCGUGGAUCCGCCUGGAAGCAGCUGCCGAGCAGGCUCUUCACGUUGGCAGUUGUAGCAUGUGGGACGCUGCCUCAGCGUGGUUUGAUGAGCAGUGCCAUGUCCG
rnacentral:lncRNA from 1 species